AGAAUCAACGCUGGCGGCGUGCCUCAGACAUGCAAGUCGAACGAUUAAACUUGCCUUCGGGCAAGAUAUAAAGUGGCGCACGGGUGAGUAACGCGUAAGUAAUCUACCUUCGAGUGGGGAAUAACGUCCGGAAACGGACGCUAAUACCGCAUAAUGCAGCGGCAUCGCAAGAUGACAGUUGUUAAAGGAUUUAUUUCGCUUGAAGAGGAGCUUGCGGCAGAUUAGCUAGUUGGUAAGGUAACGGCUUACCAAGGCUACGAUCUGUAACCGGUCUAAGAGGACGGUCGGUCACACUGACACUGAUAACGGGUCAGACUCCUACGGGAGGCAGCAGUC
rnacentral:rRNA from 1 species